UGGCCGCUGGAAAACGAGAAAUCCAGCCGCCAUCUUGAACCGGGCGUAUUCCUAGUCCUAGUCUCGUUGCGUGGCAGCGGAUAAGAUGCCAGAGCACUGUGGAGCAUUUUCCUGUUCUAAUCGCCGGACCACCGAAAAUAGUGCUUUUCACAAGUGGCUGCGUUCGGUGGAUUCGGUGGCUGGCUGCGUUCUGUGUGUGUGAAACUGUGUGUGUGUGUGUGUGUGUGUAGCUCAGUGGCGCAAAAAGUUGGUAUGCGCUAUAUGCGGCGCAUAGCGGCGCAGCCCAAUGGGGGGCGCCAAAUCGAUGCAUAUCUCCCAUCAACUCGGUACAUCCUGUGGGGUCUUCAUGAUUAUGGUAAGUUACUGGACUUUUAUCAGUCUGUCUCCACUCUGUUAUAUCAAAAAUAUAUUGUAAAAUGAAUGUUUCAGUAUGCCCUACAGAUCGUAUUGAAUGAAUCCGUUGAUUUCACUGCUGUAAGUCUUAUUUCUACGUUAUAUAAAUAAUAUUGUUGUUAAUAGUAUUCAUGAAAGUAUUGCUUUUUUCUCAGCAUGACAUUCAUGACACAAUAAGUGGUGCCUUCUCCUCGUGGAGAAUUUUGUUUCUAGGGUUUACACACCAAGUCCCAUUGUUGCAGGGUUGAUCCUUGAAAGACCCUAAAAGACCCCCUGUGAACACACAUGUGCCCCAAGCCAAAUGGUCUUAGAGCUAGUCUGAUCAUGCACUACUUUAAAUAUAUGUUCUUGCUAAAUGUAAUGUUGUAGUUUUAUGAUGCAGUAUUAAAAAAGGGCUUAAAAGUCUUAACUGGUGGACAUCCUGUAUUAGGGGAGGGACAUUGACCUUUGUUAUUUUUGUUUGUUUUUGUAAAGUGAAUUGAUUCAAAUAGCUGAAUUCUCUCAUGUAAAUUCGAAGUAAAUCAAACCUUAGUUUGGUUCUGCAUUGCAUAUGUAUGAAAUUAUACAUUUUAUUAAAUGAAACAUUUUGUAGUGGACAAUUGAAAUACAUUACAUCACUGUGCUCUUCUACAACAGAUGAAUGGACCAGGAGAAAUUAAAUAUGGCAUAGGAGCACUGAGGGGGACACAACACCACACAAUCUUGAGAAUGCCAAUAUGAUGAGCAGCAUCAGGAAAGGUGUGGAAUGUUUGAAGGACAAUCACCCGCUGAUGAAGAGCAAGUACUUGCCACCACGCAUUGACAGCAUGGAGGAGGAAGAAAGCCCUUUCUCCACUACAUUCACAUUGUGCCACAACUUUGGAUGAGGAUGAUAAAUUAAGAGCCCUAUUCUAUUUUGCUCUUUUUCAUGUCUGAGGUUAAGGACAAGAAAAAUGUUAGAGUGUCAUCAUUUUAAAACCCUGACAUUUAAUUAUUAUUAUUUAUUUUCUAAUUGGUGACAGACUUGCUGUCUGUCUGUAUCAGUAUGUCUGUGUAUGUAUAUUAGUUUGUCUGUAUCACUAUGUAUGGCUGUGUAUCAAUAUGUCUGUCUGUAUCACUGUGUAUGUGUAUCAGUGUGCCUGUCUGUCUGAAUCGUAUGCCUGUCUGUCUGUAUUAGUAUGUCUCUCUGGUAAUUGAAAUGAAAUAUAAUUGUAUUCUUGGUAAUGUCUCCAAAAUUAAUAAAUUUUUUGAAAUUAUUGUUAAUAA